rnacentral:lncRNA from 1 species
GCCGGCCUGGGCCGGUCAUCCCUGGCUGGCGCGACCCGCAGCCUGUCCGGGAAGCCGUUGCGACAUGCGGGCUGGGAACCGCCUCACCUCCAGGGGGGACCGCGGCGGCCCGCUAGACUCUGGUCGGGUCUGGAGUAUUGGGCCCUCUGGCCGGACUCGGUGCUCCUCAGGCCCCAGCGCCCGGCACUGAGCCUCGCAUCCACAUUCGCAGAGUAAACCCAACAAGUGUUGAAUGAAUGAGGUUCCCCGGGCCCCGGCUGUCACUGGGCUCUGCGCCAGGCCAAGAGCCGAAGGCGGGGGAGGAAGAUGUCGAAAUGGGCGGGAUGAUUCACAGAUGACGGCCGGUGGCGAGGCGGGGCUGGAGGCCGCAUCCCAAAGGCAGCAGGGAAGUGCGGCGGCUGUGGGGAAGCUCGGACGCACGGCCUGGCCGAGUCUGAAGCAUCAGUAUUUUGUCCCUGAGCCGGCGCGCUGAUGGGUCCCCCGCCUGGCGAUGAGGGCUUCUCCCUCCCUCGGGUCAGCCCGGGUCCUGAGAGGCAAGGCCAGCGAUUCCCGGCCUUAGGACCUCCUGCUCUAGGGAGCACGGGCGUCUUCUUCCAUUUGCCUUCCCCGAGCGUGUUGGCACAAGCUGCCCGCGGUUUCCAGCUCUGUCUUCUCUGUUUUACCCAGAUGAUGCAACUGUGGACUUCUCCAUCUGUUCAUAGGUUUUCCUUGGAUAGGAAAGAUGUUUUCCUUUUUUCUUUCUAAAGUUUAGCUCUUCUCUGGGCUUCCUUUUUAAAAACUUUUUCUACUCUCUUCAGCAGUUGUUAUUAACCUUUAGGUCGCGACCGUUUGGAAAAUAAUAAAACUACGAAUUCUCUUCUCCUA